rnacentral:rRNA from 1 species
UACGUAGGGUGCGAGCGUUGUCCGGAAUCAUUGGGCGUAAAGAGCGUGUAGGCGGCCCGGUAAGUCCGCUGUGAAAGUCGGGGGCUCAACCCUCGAAAGCCGGUGGAUACUGUCGGGCUAGAGUGCGGAAGAGGCGAGUGGAAUUCCUGGUGUAGCGGUGAAAUGCGCAGAUAUCAGGAGGAACACCGAUUGCGAAGGCAGCUCGCUGGGACGUAACUGACGCUGAGACGCGAAAGCGUGGGGAGCAAACAGG